CCCACCCCUAUUAUGGUAAACUAUGAAUUUCUAACAACAACAGGUCCUUUCCCUUCAUGUUCACGUCUCACCACUGUGCUGCUGCACCAAAAGAGUAGAUAAGUGGUCCAGCUCAUCACCCCAGAACGAGCA
rnacentral:lncRNA from 12 species